rnacentral:lncRNA from 1 species
AUGCAGAGAAGAAACAAAUGUUUACAAGGCCAGAUUAAAAUAAAAAGAGAUAUGCUGGAACAAAGAGGUUUUAUAGACAUCUCUGCUUUGAAAAACUUGGAGAAGAGCUCAAAGGACCAUUACCAGUUCACACUACUCUUUUUAUCCAGGAUGGCUGAGAUGUUCAGAAACUCUGCUAACCAGAAGAUCCAACUCACCCCAGCAAGAACAGAACCACAACACAUGAGAAAGGGUAUGUUGAUUGCUCUCUCCUAUCUUCCUGGAAGCAAGCUGCAACCUCUAUAUACAUUUUCAAUAAUGUGUAUAUGGGUAUACUACUCCCUCUCAUGAACCACAUAGUCCUUUUCAUCUUUCUCCUAUGUGUUUAUCUUCCCUAACUACAGUGUGUGCAAUUUAUUAUUAGAUGUUGUUAAAGCUAAGUUUAUUUGUGCAAAGUAGUUACUGUACGUAUGACUGGGUCAAUAUUACUUUUGAUGCAUAAUUAUUUGUACUUUCCUAGUAUCUGAUCAGUGCAUAAUUUUAAGUCUAUGCUUACACUUUUAAAACAUAUUGCAUAUAAGUUUAAGUUAUUGGGUAUAAUCUCUCAAGAAGUAUUUUAGCAAAAAUAAACAACUAAAGAUCUCAUAUUUACA